rnacentral:rRNA from 1 species
AUGAACGCUGGCGGCGUGCUUCACCCAUGCAAGUCGCACGGAAAGGCCCAAGCUUGCUUGGGUACUCGAGUGGCGAACGGGUGAGUAACACGUGGGUGAUCUGCCCUGCACUUCGGGAUAAGCCUGGGAAACUGGGUCUAAUACCGGAUAGGACCACAUUUUGGAUGGUGUGGUGGAAAGUUUUUCGGUGUGGGAUGAGCUCGCGGCCUAUCAGCUUGUUGGUGGGGUAAUGGCCUACCAAGGCGUCGACGGGUAGCCGGCCUGAGAGGGUGUACGGCCACAUUGGGACUGAGAUACGGCCCAGACUCCUACGGGAGGCAGCAGUGGGGAAUAUUGCACAAUGGGCGCAAGCCUGAUGCAGCGACGCCGCGUGGGGGAUGACGGCCUUCGGGUUGUAAACUCCUUUCGCUAGGGACGAAGCGCAAGUGACGGUACCUGGAGAAGAAGCACCGGCUAACUACGUG